rnacentral:rRNA from 1 species
AUACCCUAUUAUAAUUUAUUGUACUUAGGUAGUAUUAUUAUUUAAAGAAACCUUUGUAGUUUGGCGGCAUUAAAUCAUAUUAGAGGAACCUGUCUUUUAAUCGAUUCCCCACGCUACUUCUUACUUUUAUUAACAUUUUAUAUACCGCCAUCUUUAGGAUUAAUAAUUAUAUUCUCCCCUUAAUAAAGUUUUAAAAAGUUAGGUAAAGGUGUAAACUAUAUAAAAGAUAAGGUGGGUUACAUUAAAUUUUAUUUAAGAAUAUUUAAUUAAAAUUAAAUGGAAAAAGGAUUUAUAAGUAAUAUUAAUAAUAUUAUUUUAAAAUGAAAAUGAUAAACAAUGUGC